rnacentral:lncRNA from 1 species
CCUGGGCAACAGAGCGAGAGUCCGUCUCAAAAACACAACAACAAAAAAAUGAAUAUUUGUUUUAUUAUUCAACUCUGCCGUUUAAGGAGAGAUUAAAGUCAUUGGCAGUAUUUUUCAGAAAUAAGCUUCUAACCCAAAUGACAUUUUUAUUCAUUUCUGACAGUGAAGUCCACAGAAACUUAGGCCAUUUACACCUAUUUUAAUGGUUAAAAGAAGUGGAGCCUCUAGCCAGGAAUCCAGCAGUUCUUUAACCUCAGGAGGAGUGCAUGGCACCAGGUGUUCAAACCAUCUGGCAAUUCUGUCCUUUGUGCUCUACAAACUCAGAUUCCAAAGCUAAUGUUGAUGUAGUAUCUUUAAAUUGUAUUUAAGUAGGACUACAACCUAAAGUCAUUUAAAGGCUGGAAAUGCAGGGCUAAAUAAAAGUACCAAGAGAAGGUAUGUGAUCCCAAUAUUCAAAUGAGAUCCAGACACAAGAUGUAUGCCAAACUAGCUAUACAGGACUUGCCUUGGACUUACUGAAUCAGCUUUCCCAAGAACAACCCCAAAAUCUGAAUAUUUUCUAUUCCCAGAUGAUUCUGACAUGCAGCCAGGUUUGGGGAGCAUUGUUAUCAAAGAUGAUUACAGAGGGUGAAGUGGCAUAAGUCAAAAUGUUAAAUAUUAUACACAUUCAGAACUGUAACCACACAGACACUGAGGAGUCUUUUCCCUGUGCCUACAUUCUUAUCUUACCUAGGACAUGAAGAAUGCAACCCUCUCCCUGAAUUCUAAUGACAGUGAGCCAAAAUAUUACCCUAUAGCAGUUCUGUUGAAAAACCAGAAUCAGGAGCUGCCUGAGGAUGUAAACCCUGCCAAAAAGGAGAAUUACCUCUCUGAACAGGACUUUGUGUCUGUGUUUGGCAUCACAAGAGGGCAAUUUGCAGCUCUGCCUGGCUGGAAACAGCUCCAAAUGAAGAAAGAAAAGGGGCUUUUCUAAAGCAAGAAGGCCUAUACCUAUUGCAAGGCCACAGAAAAGAGCAGAUAGUGCCAAUAUCAGGAAAUAAUUUAUCCACCAAUUUCUGCCUGACAUUCAGCUACUUAAUUUAGAUAUAAUAGAGUCUGCAAAUCACGGCAUGUUCUCCAUUUUUUCUCAUCCUUGCAUUCCUUGCUUGUUAUAUACCUAAAAUGUUAACCAUAUAGUUUUUGGGUUUUGUGGCCCUCUAGCUAAAGCCUCAGCAGAAAGCACUAAAACUGCAUAAAUCUGGAGAAAUCAAAAGAAAGAGAACCAAAAAACAAUGCUUAAAAUGUUUAAUAACUUUAUGUUUAAUAUUAUACCAGGACCUACCUUUGUUUUCAAUUUUAAGAUGAUUAUUUCUAAAAUCUAUUUAGCCUGUAAAUCAUUGAAAUCAUAUAUGCACUCCAUAGGCAAAAUCCAAAUACCCAGAUCUGUAAUGUGUCAAAGCAUUUUUCACUUUUCAAAUAAAGAUACCUAUAAUGAACAAA